rnacentral:piRNA from 1 species
CUGGAUGUGAUGAAAUAGUUUUUCU